rnacentral:rRNA from 1 species
AGUGAACGCUGGCGGCGUGCUUAACACAUGCAAGUCGAACGAGAACGGAUUAUAGCUUGCUAUAACUGUCAGCUAAGUGGCGCACGGGUGAGUAAUGUAUAGGUAAUAUGCCUCUUACUAAGGGAUAACAAAUGGAAACGUUUGCUAAUACCUUAUACUCCUUAUUAACAGAAGUUAAUAAGGGAAAGAUUUAUUGGUAAGAGAUUAGCCUGUAUUGUAUCAGUUAGUUGGUGGGGUAAUGGCUUACCAAGACUAUGGCACAUAACUGGUUUGAGAGGAUGAUCAGUCACACUGGAACUGAGACACGGUCAGACUCCUACGGGAGGCAGCAGUGGGGAAUAUUGCACAAUGGACGAAAGUCUGAUGCAGCAACGCCGCGUGGAGGAUGACACAUUACGGUGCGUAAACUCCUUUUAUAUAGGAAGAUAAUGACGGUACUAUAUGAAUAAGCACCGGCUAACUCCGUGCCAGCCGCCGCGGUAA